rnacentral:lncRNA from 1 species
GUUCCAAUGAGAAUGAAGGCUGAGGUGUGCGCCUUUUUUUUUUUUCCUUCUUAGUCGUGUGUACAUCAUUGGGAAUGGAGGGAAAUAAAUGACUGGAUGGUCGCUGCUUUUUAAGUUUCAAAUUGACAUUCCAGACAAGCGGUGCCUGAGCCCGUGCCUGUCUUCAGAUCUUCACAGCACAGUUCCUGGGAAGGUGGAGCCACCAGCCUCUCCCUGACAAGCAAAGUGGAUCAGCAAAGGCUGCAGUCACCAGCAUCUUUUCCAACCUUAAUGAACUGUAUCCUCAAAAGAACACUAUCAGACUGGCUCUGCCGACUUCCAGUUCUGGAACAAGAUGGUUAAACUCAUUUUUCCCUGCUCUGCUCCUCUAAAUACAACUAAGUACCUUGGAAACUAUUCAGCAGACAAUGAUAAAGGGCUCUGAAAGCUAGAAGAAAAGGUGUACUUGCAAGAAACCUCAGGACUUGAGUAACAGCAACAUGUCUUGGACGAGCCUGAGGAUGUCUACAAGUGGAAGAAAAGAAGCCACUGGAGCAGAAGGUGGGGAGGAUAAAAUUUGGAGCAAGAUUCUCAAGGAAGCAACAAGAUCCUAAGGAAAGGAGAAAGAGACUACCUACUGCAUUUCUGUCACUCGCUGAAAAGGACACUCUGUCAGAAAAUCUUCUAGCAAACUUCAAAGGGCAAAAUCACCCCUUGUUACUGAUAAAGCCCAGAGAGCUUCAGCAGCUAACAUUCCCUGGACAGGGCACAGCAAGGAUUUGAACCUAGGUCAGUCUGGCCAGAACACCCACAAGCUUUCCUUAACUCAGUGUGCUAUCUCCCCACGACUAGGUCACUACUGCUUUAUAAUCACCUUUGUAGCCACCAGUGGAUUUUGCUCAUCAGUAUUUUUCAGGCAAUUGAUACUUUAGAUAUUCAGCUGCAAGACGUAUGCAGUUUUCAUUGACAUCUUUUGGAGAAACUGACAAACCUGGACUUGACUUAAUGCCUUUGGAACCUUCCAAGAUGUUAUAUAACUCUAGAUAGAAGGCUGGGCCUCCAUGAUGUCAGGAAUGUUGCAUUCUUAUUUCCCCAUAGAUAAACCCAUUUGUCCACAAAGUCAAGGAGUCAGGCAGAGGCCCUUGCCAUGGGGCUUUUUAGGAUAAAGCAACAAGCCUGGACUUUGCUCUACAACAGGGUUUUGCAUAGGGAGUGGUAUGACCAGAUCCCUCAAGAAAGAAAGCUUAGAGACCAGGCCAGAGUCCACUGCAGUAGCCCAGUCAAGAGAGGAUGGUGACUUGGACUUGUAGUAGAGCCAGUUAGAAUGAAAGAAAUUGACACAUUCAGAAAUGGUUUUAGAGAUAGAGUCAAACUGGACCUGAUAAAGAACUAGAGAAGCGGAGUGAGGAUAAAGAGAAGAGCCAUGACUGACUCGGAAGAUUUUGUCUUGAAAAACUUGAGAACUCAAGACAGAGUGAAAUAAAAUCACAUGUGGGAAAAAUCUCCUGCUUUGUUUUGGACUACUUUGAAGUGAAAUGCCUGUUAAGCCUAAGUGGGGUAGGUCAUGGCGUACAUGACUGUGGGCUCAGGAUGGAUACAGGCAUUCAGGAGUUGUGAGCAAAUAGAACUUAAAGCCAUGAGAGAAGAAGGGAUCACCAAGAGAGACAGUGUGGCAUAGAGAAGAAAAGGGGUGGAAGACGAUCCCUGGGCAGAAAAGUCCUUAGAGCAGAGGCAACAGGCAUGACCAAGAAGACUAAGAAAGAACAUUCAGUACAGCAGGAGGAGAGCAAAAAAUGUGUGGUAUUCUAGAAGCAAAGAGAAUAAAGGGCUUCAGGAAGGAGCAGUCAAGUGUGUCAAAUAAGAUAAAGACAGACAAGUCCCCUGGAUUGGGUAGGAAUAAAAUAACAACAGACUGCCAUACAAAUGGUUCUAUCUACACCAUCUAAAAGAAUAUAGUUUAUUCUCCAUACAUUUAAGAAACACCUGCCAUAUGCCAGGUAUCCUUUCAAGCACUGAAAUGCAGAUUCAUAAAACAUGGUCUCUGCUCUCAAGGAGCUCACAGUGGUAAGGAGGAAACAGGCAAUAGCGAGUGUUCUCAUUGCAUUCGUGACCCCAUUGAUCUUGCAACAGCCCCAUGCAUCAGUUAUUGCCAUUAUACCAUUUUACCGAUAAGGAAACUGUGGCAGGGAGGGGUCAAGCACCUUGGGUAUUUGACAGCAAAACCAAGGCUUGGUGGUAUCAUAAAACUUCCAAGUAGUAAUUCACAAAGGUGACUGGGAAAUGGAAGUGACCAGAAAUCUUUGCACUAUGAGGACAAGUUCAUGACCCUGAUACAUUCUUGUCCAGGUAGUAUAGCUCCAGACCAAAUGUCUGCGGCCACCCACCCAAAAACUUGUUGGAUAAAAAUGACUACACCUAUAGUCAAAUGAUUUUUGACAAAGGUGCCAAACAGUUAGAUAGGAAAAAGAAAGUUAUUUUCAAUAAAUGUUGCUGGAGCAACCAGAUAUCCAUAUGGAAAAAAAAUCUUGACCACCUACCUCACACCAAACACUAAUAUUAACUUGAGAUGGAUCAUAAACCUAAGUCUGAAAACUAAUAGUAAAGUUCUUGAGAAGAGAACAUGGGAGAAUGUCUUCAUGAUGUUCAGGUAGGCAAAGAUAUUUUAAGACACAAAAAAGCAAUAAGCAUAAAAUUUGUAAAGAGGUGACUGGGGCUUUAUCAAAAUUAAAAUUUAUGUGUAUUAAAAGACAUCAUGAAUAAAGGGAAAAGGGCAGCCACAGACUGGGAGAAACUCUUUACUAUACAUAUACCUAACUGAGGCUCAUAUCCAGAUUAUAUGAAGAACUCCUUCAUACUGAUACCUAGGGUCUUGAUUGCAUGCCCCGAAAUCAGUUGAUUCUUCCCUUUUGAAAUGCAUUCCCACAAGGAUCCAGCCUUUGGGAAGCCAUGCAAGUAGAGGCAGAAGUUGUUUCAGCUUCGGAAAGGGCCACUCUGCUGAGGAGUGUCCUUGACCGGCAGAGAGAAGAUGUUCCUGCAGCCAUGCUGAUUCCAGGGGGAUAUAGAAUUUGGGGCCUGGGAAUGUUUAAAAAUGAAAGCCAGUUAAUAGUUUUAUUUUUCUUUUAACAUGACAGACAGGAGAACAACCAGCAGGACUCCAGGCUUACCCUGACAUUUUUGUCAAGUAUAUGCGGGUUCUCCAGAGAGCCAGAAUCAAAAGAUGUGUGUAUAUACAGCCAUGUGUUGCAUAACAACAAAGAUACAUUCUGUGAAAUGUGUCCUUAGGCAAUUUCAUCGUUGUGCAAACAUCAUAGGGUGUAUUUGCACACACCUAGAUGGCAUAGCCUACCACACACCUGGACUAUGUGGUAUAGCUUGUCACUCCUAGGCUUUGUACAGCAUGCUACUAUACUGAAUACUGUAGGCAAUUAUAACACAAUGGUAGGUAUAUAUGUCUAUGUAGACAUAUCUAACAUAGAAAAGGUACAGUAACAAUACAGUAUAAAAAGUGAAAAUUGCACACUUAUAUAGGGCACUUCCAAUCAAUGGAGCUUGUAGAACUGGAAGUUGCUCUGGGCGAGUCCGUGAGCAACUAAGACAUUACACUGUGCG